rnacentral:pre_miRNA from 11 species
UUCUUUGCACCACCGACUGGUCUGAAAGAACCCCAGAGUGGGGAGACCCUCACUCAAGUCUUGGGAUAAGCCGACGCCCCAAUAAUUCAAGAGAGACC